ACAAGCUUUUUCUGGGCCAUUUUGAAGCGUCUUUCUGGGCCGUCUGUACAGCAGCCCAAACCUAAGGCCCAACCUAGACCCAACCUAAGGCCCAACCUCAGCCCAACCUGAAGGGGUCUGGUUAUUUUAUUAAAUACUGGCCGCCCUACCGUCCGGUCUCCCUCCCUUUCCCCUCGGCCCUCACACAAGUCAGUAGAACCAGAACCGGUGGGUUCUUGCUUUCCCCUUUUUCAUUCCUCCCCCCCUCUGCUUCCAUCGGCUGUGCUGGUUCUUGGCCGAUCCGAUCAGAUCCGCCUGUGGUGUCGAGAUGGUGCUCCUCGGCGAGGAUGGGUUUCCUGCAGGAUCCGCCAAACCCGAUCGGUUGAUCCUGUCUUAGCUCGAUCAGAUGUUGUUGAGUGCUCCUUUGAACAAUGAGUUCCUCAAAAUGAAACCUGAGGACAUCCCUUGUAAUGAUCCUGGAACCAAGGCCUUCUACGUCGACGACCUUUGCAUUCUGACCAAUGACAAGAUGAACAUAACGGAUGACGAGUGCUGGGAGAAGCUUGAGCGCGGGCAGGGCUGGGGCAUCGCCAACGACACAGGUGAGUGGGCAGGCUGGGCGAGGACCUUUGUGUACUAGGGCAGACAGCCUAGCAACAGCAACAAGAACUGGUUCUUGAAAGUGUACACCGUGUUUGAUGCCAAUGGUUACGUCAAGCCCUUGUAUGAGUGCCAUGUAUUUGAAGACUACAACUGCAACCCACACCCCAAAUGCGUAUCGCAAGUAUCAGCUGCGGACGUAGAUAAUCCAGACACAAUACAAGUGGACCCAGUGAAAGUAGAAUCUAUCGCAAAGCAUCUUGAAGCCAUCGCCACCGACCCAAAUCUCCUUCCAUACGGAGAGCGUCAGGACCACAACGCGUAUCCCAGCUGGUUCCGGUUUCCUUCAAUUGGGGUGGACAAAAGUCUUAAAGCCGAGGUAUGGACGAGCGGCAGAUUCUCGAGGAUAAAAGCACGCCUUCCUGAUGGGCGUGAGAUCUGCUGGCCACUGUGCAACCAUUGUGGUAUGGUCUACAAGGGCACUACUUUACCAUCAACUCUCGGAAAGCACGAAUGUGAUUGCAGUUGCAGUCCCAAGAGCCAGGAGCAGUCAAUCCUGUGCCUGCUGCAGCUGCCAGGUGUAAUGUAUCCCUCGUUUUUUUGAUUCCUAGGAAUAGUUGGAAUUGGUGUUGUCAUUUAGGACAAUUUGCAGUAUCAAUAAUGUCUAUCCUUUCGAACUGAGCUUUUAGUUCAUUUCGAGUCAUGGCUCUGGUGACAGUUUGGUAUCUUA